rnacentral:misc_RNA from 1 species
GAAAUGCGAUAAGUAAUGUGAAUUGCAGAAUUCAGUGAAUCAUAGAAUCUUUGAACGCACCUUGCGCUCCUUGGUAUUCCUUGGAGCAUGCCUGUUUGAGUAUCAUGAAAUCUUCAAAGUAAAUCUUUUGUUAACUCAAUUGGUUUCUACUUUGGUAUUGGAGGUCUUUGCAGCUUCACACCUGCUCCUCUUUGUUCAUUAGCUGGAUCUCAGUGUUAUGCUUGGUUCCACUCGGCGUGAUAAGUUAUCUAUCGCUGAGGACACUGUAAAAGGUGGCCAAGGUAAAUGCAGAUGAACCGCUUCUAAUAGUCCAUUGACUUGGACAAUACUUUUAUGAUCUGAUCUCAAAUCAGGUAGGACUACCCGCUGAACUUAAGC